AGAGAGAAGGAUAGUCAGAUUGCGUAGCAGGGUUAGGUGGGUUUCCGUGCUAAGCACAGCAAUUGCGCACGGUCCCUUACGUAACUGUCAGCUGGGGAUUCCCUAGAGGGGGUCACUGUAUUCAACCAUUACACAGACCCCUGCCGCCGUUCCAACGCGCCUGGGCUGCCGUUGCCGCAGCUACUGAGGCUGCGGCUGCAGCUACAACGGCGGCUCCUCACAAAAUGGCGGCGCCCAUGGAAGCGGCAGCAGCCCCAUUUUGUGCCCACAGAGCUGUCAACAAAACACGGGACUUGGCCGGGGCAGAGACCCAGAAGGCGGCGGCGGCGAAGCAACGUUAUGGGUAGCGAGGGACUUCACCAGCCCCCCGCCCCCGAGAAGAGACUUUCUAUAAAGCGUGCGCGCAUUGCGCGGGGGAGGCGAGCAGCGGGCGAAGCGGCGAUUUGAGUGCUGGGACCAGCCGGCAGCGAGAGCUCUGCGGGGACCUUCCGGAGCUGCGGCUCCGUGGUCGGGGCGAUGGUCCUGCCGGUGCGAUCCGGGAUGCUCGGCAGCAAGGCGCUGCCCUGAUCUCGCCGGCGGGGCCGGGGAGGUUCCCCGUGGGGGAUAGGUCUCGGGCACUGGGUGUGCACUGCGAGCGGCAGUGGGGAUGGGAGCGGAUUUGCUGUCUCCUCCUGGAGACCUUGUUCCGGGCUCGCUCCUUGCUCUUAAAUCUCUCCACUCUUGAGCUGGUGGUUGGCAGCCCAGUUUAUGUAACUUUAUUGCUGUAGGAAUCUAGCAAACCUGCAAGGAGCUGCAGGAAGAUCUGGGUUCUUAGUUUAGUUAAUUAGGUCAAUUUCAGCACUUAAUUACUGUUUGCUUCUUUUUAGUGCGUGCCUUUGGAAUCGGCCUAUUAGGUUGAUGCUUCAGUUUACAUUAGCUAACAGCAAGCUCCUUACCUUACCUCAAAGGCUGCAUGGAGGGGAGGGGGAAGAGAAGAGCAAAGGGCCCAGAACUGCAGCUGGGAGUUCCUGGGCUUUCACUCCUCAGUCCUAGGAUAUGCCCGGCUCCCAGUGCUUCAAGAAAUGUCUCAGUUGCAAGGAAUCUAUCCCAGUGACUGACGAACACACUCAGUGCGUCCCCUGCCUGGGAGAGAAACACAUCCCACAGAAGUGUGGUUUUUGCCAGCAACUGAAGCCCAGUUCAGAAAGGAUAGAGAACUGAGAUUCAAAUUCCUCUUACUAGAGGCACCCUUCAACUAUCCGAGCUGUACCAAGACCCCAGACAGUGAGAAACCUCACUGCAACUCUACCUUUAAGGGAAGUGAGCCUAAGAAGACAUCUACGAGCCACUCAUACAAGGCCUCUAAGAAAAUUGCUGUGAGUUCCCACAGUGAGUCCCGAUCAAGCUGAAAGGAGUCAUCGGUACUUACUGGGCAUGAGAGACAUAGAGAAUCCUCCCCAGGAAAGGCUCCUGUGGCACGGACAUUGACAUCGUUACUGCCUGCGGCACACCAGGUACUGACAGACCAUACCCUCAGGUCGGUAUCACUGACUCCUUAGGAACAGACAUCUCAUGACUGACGAUCACUUCCGGUACCAACACCUUGGGCACUGCUGGACCUCCGGUACGCAACAGACCUUUUGGUGUCUGAUAACACCGGAUUCACCUCUGCUCAGUGCCAGGGCCCCCGUACUGAGUUCAUCUAGUGUUCCUGACUCAUACUGUGCACCACCUUCUUCAUCCAUUGAGUCAGAUAGUGAGCAAGAGGACGUGGUUUCCUGCUGUUUUUCUCACCCUCCAUAUGGUGCCCAGUUCCACUAUGGACCACAACCAUACCAUCCAUCUGAUCCUCAGCCUCCCGGUAUGGGCAGCCAUGGUACCAAUCAUCGGGCUCCUUCUCUUCCCACCUUCUGAAUGGUCCUACUGCAGGGGUCUCAAACUCCUGGCCUGUGGGCCCUCUGUGGCCCAUGAGCCUCCCCAAUGUGGCCCAUGGGGCUCCAGCAGUUUUGGGGGUGGGUUUCUCCCUUGGCCCCACCUGCCGCCCCCAGGCUCUCCCCCCUCAGGGGCCCCAGUCCCCGGCAGCACAGCAGAGCUGAGCAGCAUCUGCCUGCUCACUCCAGUGGCUGCCGGCCCCUCCCUGCAGCCCAGGGGUGGGGCAGGGCUGUGCCUCCAUGUGUUGCCCCCGCCCCGAGCGCCCCUGCGGCCAAUGGGACGCGUGGAGGUGGUGCCUGGGGGCAGAAGGGUGUGGAGGCCCCCCAGCCCGCCCCACCUUGGAGCCCAAGGUAAGCGUUGCACCCCCUAACCCCCUCCCAGAGCCUGC